ensembl:lncRNA
CUAAUGACAUUGUUCCCAAUGUUCUCAACUCUGAGUAACUGUUCUUGCCAGAAAGCUAAUUUCAGAGUCUUAAGCAAGUUUACUUUGGACAUAUUUCCUCAGCUGAUGAUUCAAAAACAAUUUAAUUAUCUCACCGUUGUUAAAAGGCCUUCCUUGCUUGGCUAAUAAAUGAACCACUCAGAAACUUACUUUGACUGAAGAUUUAUUUUCAUUUUUGUAAAGAAAUUCUGCUGUGAUGAGAUCCUUUGUUUUAAGUUUUCUAAUUUUUCUGACCAUUGCCUUCCUAUGAAUUGAGAAUAUUGUGCUAAGUGCUUAGUCUAGUAAUUUAAAUGUAUAUAAUAUUCUUUCAGAGGAGCUACAGUGUCCUUGCAUGUUAAACACAAUGCUUUGGCCUCUAAUUUGCUUUUUGUUUUUUUGUCUUUUGUCCUUUUAGGGUCACACCUGUGGCAUAUGGAGGUUCCCAGGCUAGGGGUCUAAUCGGAGCUGUAGCUGCUGGCCUACGCCACAGCCACAGCAACACCAGAUCCAAGCCUUGUCUGUGACCUAAACCAGAGAUCACAGCAACACUGGAUCAUUAACCCAUUGAGCGAGGCCAGGGAUCGAACCCGAGAACUCAUAGUUCCUAGUCAGGUUCAUUUCUACUGUGCCACGACGGGAACUCUGUAUGCAUGAUAACAGAAAAAUUUUAAUUAUUGUGGUAUGGAAAAUACAUGUGGCAUCAAAGUGCUGGUAGUAAAUAAUUUCAUCACUGAAAUUUGCAACGUAUACAAUGAGAGCACAUGCACGGUCUCUGUUGCUACAACUCUGCCAUUGGAGUGUGGAAGCCACGGCAGACACAUAAGUGCAUAUGUGUGGCCACGUUCCAAUAAAAUUCUAUUUCUGGACACUGAAAGUUGGAUUUCACCUAAUUCAUGUGUCACAAAAUAUUCUUUUUUAAUUUAUUAGCCAUUAGAAAAUGUAAAAACCAUUUUUAAGUUGCAAUCUGGAUUUGGCUUGUGGACUGAAUUUGUGACCCCUAUUCUAGGAUGUUUUCAAAUCAGUUAGUUAACCCAGGUUGGCCAAUUCCUAAUUUUAUAAAUCUGUUCUCAGCAUUCAUCUUUGUCAUUUUACCAUUUAUAUUUUAAAAUGAUGGACAGUGUUUUAUUGACUUAGAGAAAACAAAACUUUUUACCAUAACAAGAAUUUUGGAUUUUUUUUCUUUUUUAUUGAAGUAUAUUUGACAAUUAAGGAUUAUAUAUAAGAUAUACAAUUUGAAAAUUUGAUGCACAUAUACAUUGUAGGAAAAAAAUCACCACACCCAAGUUAAUUAACUUAUCUCUCUAUUCAGAUAGUUAACACUUUUUUUGGUAGGGACACUUAAGAUCUAUCCUCUUAGAAAAUUUCUUUCUUUUCUUUUUGUUUUUUAGGGCCACACCCACGGCAUAUGGAAGUUCCCGGGUUAGGGGUGGAAUCAGAGCUACAGCUGCUGACUUACGCCACAGCCAUAGCAACGCGGGAUCCGAGCCGCAUCUGCAAUCUACACCACAGCUCCCGGCAACACGGGAUUCUUAACCCACUGAUCAAGGCCAGGGAUCAAACCUCCAUCCUCAUGGGUACUAGUCGGGUUUGUUUCUACUGAGCCACAAUGGGAGCUCCCCUAGCAAAUUUCAAGUGUAUUGGUAACUCUAGCCACACUGUUGUACAUUAGAUCUCCAGAAUUUAUUCAUCAUGCAUAACUGAAAAUACCUACUUUUGACCAGCUUCUCCCAUUUCCUUUUCCCCAGUCCCUGAUAACCAGCAUUAUACUUUCUGCUUCUAUGACUAUAUUUGACUAUCUUAGAUUCCACAUGUGAGUGAAAUCCUGCAAUGUGUCUUUCUGUGUGGUUUAUUUCACUUUGCACAAUGUCCUCCAGGUUUAUUUAUUUUUGUUGAAAAUAGCAUUAUUUCCUUUUUAAGGCUGAAUAAUGUUCCCUUUUAUACAAACACACACACUUUUUCUUUAUCCAUUCAUCUAUUGACAGACAUUUAGGUUAUUUCCAUAUCUUGGCUAUUGUGAAUUUGUGAAUUAUGCCGAAAUGAAUGUGGGUGUGCAGAUAUCUCUAUGAGAGCCUUCUUUCAUUUCCUUUGGAUAUGUACCCAGAAAUGAGAUUGCUGGAUCAUGUAACAUUUCUACUUAUAAUUUUUAAAGGAACCACCAUACCGUUUUUCAUAAAGGCCAUAUCAAUUCAUAGUCCUAACAACAGUAUGCAAGUGUUCCCUUAAUAAGAGAGAAAUAUAGACUACCCAUUAAAUUUGAAGCCAGAUGACCAAUUGUUACUAGCAUUGCCAACUGAGGUUUUUUUUUUUUUAAUUAUCUUAAAUUUUGCCAAGACAAAUUAUCUUCCCAGUGGCUCAUAAUGAAUAAAGAUAUGUCCCUGAUUCUGGGAGCAUAAUUAAAGUAUCCUCUCAAUUUAAAUUGCUCUGAAAUAAGACCCUAGAAAUACACAACAUGUAGCAAAACAUUUAGACAAUUAAUAUACUUCCUUUCCUCUGGCAUGAUUCAUUUUGAGCCAAUAUGUAGCAAAGAAAAACAGAAGUUUUUGUGCAGAAGUAUUUUUAUUUUUUGAGGUUUCCCAGGCAUUAACUUAGAGACUGAAAACUCAUAAUUGCAAGUGUAACAAUACUAACCAAGGAGACCCAAUAAAAAUUGCAUUUGGUUGCCGUGUAUAUUAUUAAUGAAUGUUUGGUUUUUCAUUUUUUUUACUUUAAAGAAGUAAAGCAUGCCUAUGAGUGACAGAGUCAUUUUCAUUCUUGAAGCCAUUUAUCACACGUUUAUCAGUGUUGCAUCUUAGAUUCCCCACAUUUAGAACAUCUUAGUUUCCCCACAUUUAACGUUGCUUCUUCAUAAAAACUUUUUUUUCUAAGCCAAUCUGAAAAUGUUGGCAGUGACUCUUAAUAGAAAGUUAGCUAUUGGCAAAACACUAUUCUGGCAGCUAUGGUUUUAAACUUGCAGCCUAGUUCUCUAGCAGUACGCUAAUGUCAAUAAGCAAAUGAGGUGAUGAUUGACAGCCACAGCUACAAGUCAAAAGGAAAGCAAUAAAACAUUAAUCAGAGGUGAUUUAUUUUAUAUAUAUAUUAUAGUUUUUAAUAAAUUGGAUAGAGGCCGAGAUUUUUCCUUUGGCACAGCAGAGUGUAUUUGAUAUUUUUGCCUGUAAGUUUGAAUUUUCGGCUUAAAGUUUUGUGCAUAUGAAUACCAUUAGUGGUUUGAUUUUGAGAGAAAAAAGCUAUUGUGUCAAAAUCUACAUUUUUUGAGGAAGGAAGAUUUUUCUCAAUGGGUUAGGUAAAGUGAAUGAAUGCAGUCUUAACUAUAAAUUUUUUUUAAGGAAGAGUUUGAAAGCAAAGCAGUCUUAGGAAGAAAUUGAGUAGAUUACACCAAAGAUAAAACAACUCUUUACAAAUUAGUAUCUGUGCAGACAACAGAGAUGUUUUAAAUUUUAUUUGUAUAAAAAUGUUGUUCAAUUUCUAAUGUUUUUUUAGUGUUUGCAUUAUUCUGUACUUUAGAAUAAUAAGCUAAGCUUGAGUAUCUCAUUAGCUCACUUUCACAAUUGAUCAUUUCAGGACUCUGCUGAAUAUAAUGGAAG